AUGGCGGGAGGAGCAAACGACAGACACCGUGGGUGUGGUGUCAGGCCUCGGAAAGGCUUUUAUUUAACAGAAAAUAACAGGGGAUCUGGUAGUCUCAGCCUCAGACGUUACACCCACAGAACAUUGGCUGAACAUCUGAUGAAUACGGCACACAAAAGUAAAAACACUUCAGGAGUUUCAAAGUCAUCAUCAGAUUGGUUGAAUUAUACAGGAUUUUCAGGAGACAUGGCACCAGGUCUCGACCCCGGGCUGGACUUCGCUUCGUCCAUGGUGAAAGACGAUCCAGAGACCCACAGCAUGAAGUUGAUGUAUUUCCUCAGCGACCAGCAAAGAUCAGCUCUAGGCAUGACGAAGCAGAUAUCAUCCUCUUUGGGAAGGCCAAACUAAGUUUUGCUUUCACAAUGAAAACUCACAGCUUCUCAACAACAUGGCGUCGGCGGGAACAGUGAGAAAAAAUGUUACUCCUUCAUUCGUUGUGUGAACAUUUGGGAGGUGUUAUGCAAAUCUUCCCACAUCGUGACGUAGACAUGUGGGGGUGUGUUUAAACGAGCUGUUUUAGGAGGGCGUGGACAAGUCUUAACUAAAAGAAUAUCACUUUGGAUUUGAGACUUUAGUCCUUGCAACCCCUUUAAUGUUCUGCCUUGAAACAAAUAUGCCGUGGUGCCAAACCCCCUCACAAAGAAGAAAGCCAUUGUGUUUACAACUGUGACGACAAGCGCUUAUCAUGAUCAUCUAAACGCUGGGGGGGGGGGCACGAUGUAUGGUACAAUAAAGUACAUCAUGUAUGCACUCACUAAACAAAGAGUGACAGCUUUUAGUUGUUAUGAGCACUCUUUGCAAGAUUUCUAGUCUAUAAUCCAUUUCAGAUGUUUUUUAAUAACUUUGUUUUUUGGCCACACACACACAUUGCAAAGUUUAGGGAAUGACGUCUGCAUAUUUAUGCAGGAUUCGCUCUCAAAGUAGAAGUUAUUGGCAUAACGAUAACCAUAGCAUAGACGGGACAAAAUAUGUUAAAAUGUGCAUUAAGACUAGAGCACCUUCACUAAUUUCAGAAGCACCCUCAGUCCCUCAGUGAUUAUUUCUGGAACCUGGUUGAUAUGCUUUUAUUGCAAAACUAUAUACAAAAACAACUAAAUAUAAAUGCACUAUUUUAAAAUAAUUGAAUUAAUGCAUAUUAACGAUUUAAACACAACUAAAAUAAGUAGGCUAUUAAUAAAAUAAAUAACUAGAGAAGGCUGACUAUAAUCAGCUUGUUUCUAUUUAGUGAUAUAAGCCUACUCCUCACCUGAAUUAGAAAAAAAGCUCUUCUGGUCUUCAGUGAUGUGAAGACAACAUUUGACCAUGUACACGCAAUAUCUGAGCGAAAGCAGAACUAAUUCAUAAAAGAACAAUGUAUAUUUAAAAGCAGACGUCCAGUUUUGUGUUAGUAAAGGAAAUCUGUUUGCGAGUGGAGAGAUUUGACCUUGCACAUUACAUAAAUCACGUAACAUUAUGCAUUUUCGAUAUUUGUCAUAUCACACUAUAGAAACUGCCUUAAAUUAAAGAGGAGAAGAAAGCGGCCAUAGGCAGCUGCACAUGCCAGGAUCCGCCACUGCCAGAUGCAGUUAGAAAUUUACUAAAAACAAGCCUAUGACAAGACAUCUGGGAGGGGGGGGCACCUGGGGUGGCCAGCCAAAUUUCGGGGGGGUAUACAGAGGCGGAUCUACAGGGUGGCAAAGGGUGGCAGCUGACACCCCUGGGAUACAGUCUUGCCAGCCCUGUUGCCACCCCAUUUAUAAAUCAGAUAAUAUUUUUUAAGUAUAUUUUAUGUUCAUAACCUACACGUUGAAAGCCAAGGAGACCCACAUCAAACUCCUCUCAAACAGAAAUCGCCGAUUUAGAAUCCCCUCCCCCUCACAGUCACAAUGGAUUCACCCAUCACCAGCACAGCAGCGAUCCUCGCAAAAUUUCACCAGUCAGUGGCAGCCUGGGCAGACAUGCCAAAUUAUUCUGAGAUAUCUAAGUGGUGUCAUAAGCUGGUGAUGCACAAGCACUGCACGUUUGACUCACAUGGACACCUGUUAUCAACAACCUGACCGUUUUCUCUCUGGUUGACCACGCAUUUUGCAGUUAGCCCUACAUGACUGAAAUUCUACUCAAUCACAACAAGUAAAAGUAGCCCACUACAUUCAAACCCUACUCAGAGUAGGCUACUAGUCUAGUAGUGUAGAGAACAAAACACAUUCAAUGAAAACCGUAGCAUUUUAAAUUAUGAAUAAUGUCCAUGGCCCCCCUCCUGAAACCUCAUGCCACCCCAGGAAAAAAUCUCUAGAUCCGCCACUGUAUAUAUAAUACAGUAACCAUUGGUAACCAUACUGGAGAAGUCUUGGUAAACAAGCGAAUUUCUUCAGUUUAGUUUUGUUGUUUUUUAACAGAAUACAUUUGGUCUGGUUUGAGUGAAACUUUCAGAUAUGAAACUGAGCUGGAGUUGAAGACAGACCAGAGGAAGGAAGACCAUCGAAAAGAAAAACAAACUUUAGUAGAAAAGUCCACUGCCUGAUAUGAGAUUUGACCCUUCUGCCUCCUGUCAAACUGAUGUGCAUUUGGAUGUGAAAGAACCUUUUAUGAACACCGGUGGGACGAUGGUCUGUCCAAAUUCAAUACAGUACAGUCUAGGGCUUCUUUUGAUUCCUUAGCUAUGAGGGACUUGUGGCACAAUGAAGAGAGAAUGAUGUAUGUAUUGUAUUUGUAAACUCAUGAAAUCUUUUCCAUUCUUAGUUUAGUGGCGAUUUCAAGCGUACUGUUGCCUAAUGCACUGACAAGAGUUGGAGAUGAUUAAAUGACAUUAAGAUAAAUUAUUUAUUAGCAGAACGAUACUCCAGUAACAUGCACUGUAUUUGAGUGUAUUUUUGGAAGGGUACAGAUGUAAGGGCAGCUUAUUAGUGUCAACAUAUCCCCUAUUCAGAGCUCUGACCACUUUAAAUGGCCAGCAUUCCCAUCAACCCCUUCUGUCUCUGUUGAUCAUAUGGAGCCUGCAGAAAUGGGGUGCUCAUGCAAUCCAGAAUCGCAGCCUGUAGCACCCAGUGAGACCACAGCUAAACCUAGAGCUGAGAAAUAACCUCCAGUCAUCUCAUCCCCCCCAUUUAUUAUUAAUCUAUGACUCACUCAGAGUGCUGACACACAGAAAAGCCCUCAACGCGUUAUUGAACUUGUCUACUACAAGUUUCCAAUCUACACCAUCCCCACCAGAAGAAGCCAAGAUCUUACCUGUCAACUUUUGUUUUGUCAUCAAAGGUAUUGAUCGGAGUGCUGUCUGUGCCACGUGACAAAUAACAGGACUAAUCCUGUGUGAUGGCUGGUUAACAUUCUUUCUGUGUAGCUGUCCAACAAGGCUAGAGAUUUGAUUAGACAGCGGCACUGAUGGGGAUAAAAAGUCAAGUCCACUUGUCUGGUAUGAUAGACAUCCCUGAACACAGAACAGUUUUUGAUAGACAUCCCUGAACACAGAACGUUUUUUUUUAAAGAUAUCCCUAAACACAGAACAGUUCUUUAUUGGUUUCUAUGGUUCCAUAAAAAACGUUUAACAUCCAUAGAAAUUUUCCAUUGCACAAAAAUGUUCUUUACAGUAGAAAAAGGUUCUUUAGAUGAUUAAAAUUAUUCUUUAAAGAACCAUUUACUGAUAAGUUCUAUGGGGAACUCAAAAAUGUUUUUUCUAUGGCAUCAAUGCCAAAACCCUCAUUUGGAACAUUUAUUUUUAAAAGUGUAUGGAAAAUUUUGGAUCAAUCAGCACUCUCCAAAACCAAGUAAUAUUGUUUGGCAGAACUAUGUUCCAUCUCUCCGGCAGAGUCUCCAUGACUUGUAGAAUCAUUGGCCAACAAAUAACUAAAACACUUGGCCUUGGUUUUUACUUUCAUUUGUCACCCCCUAUGUCUUAAAGUUGGCAUGAAACGGAAGUAGCGAUUGUCUUUUUUUCUCUACUGUGACGUCUAUCCGAGUGAAAUGGCAUUUGAAAUGAGAGGGUGGGACUUGAUUUCAUCCUUUGGGAAUUGAUUGGAUCGUUGGAAGUUGGGGCGUUGCUAACAAAAUGGAGGUUGUGAGGGGAUUUCUCUCCACUGGAUUCACAGACGACACCCAGGCAUGAAGAAAUGUUUUAUUUAUUGAGGAAGAUGACGACGAGGACAAUCAAUGGCACAAAACAUGCCCAUCAGCAUGCACAUGCGAGAGAAAGAGAGAAAGAGAGAGAGAGAGAGAGAGAUUCAGUCACAUUCAUUAAAAAAAGUUUGCAAUGUCCUAAGAGUAAUGUUGUGGUAAUAUCCUAAUAUCCUUUCAACUUUUAAGGGUAGUGUACUCCCAAACUGCUUGCGUCAGCACUGGUCGAUGCAUUGAUUUCCAAAAAGUGAAACAUCAGCUUUAGUUUUUUCCCCAGCGUUUGAUCCCUCACGUCACUAGCUCCGCCCUUGCGCCAUAGCCCUGACCAGAAGAAAAAAUUAGUCAUUUUGAGGGGGAGGGGAGGUUAACGUUUUUGAUUAAAGAUUACGAGGGCACAUGAAUUUAAAAAAAAGAAAAAAGAAUGAAGUGCACAGAUAAAUGAUUUAUGAGAAACACUGCAGUAUUCCAUUAAAAAAAUAAGAAUUUUACAUUUUGAUUUCAUGUUGACUUUAACACAUAUAACUGAUUCACCAUUAUGCAAUAGUAAUGGUGGCACAUUUGCACACAGGAAAUGGAUUUAUUUUCUUAACAUCGUAAUGUAGCAGGUGUUGGGAUGCUCUGAUCGAACGGCCGGAGAUCGUUAUCGGCCAAUAAUCACAUUUUAUGUAGGUACUCACUGCACUUGGUCGAUCUCACGAACUGAUCGCAAUUUGAUGACAUCAAAAUUGGACAUAAAUGCCGCAGUUAUACCAUCGCUGGUGUGUAAUUGCAAUGACAUUUCGAGAAACAAUGAAAAAUGAAUUUGUCAUGUAUGUUUGGCAUGAUGAUAUGAUGAAUGGAUGGUUCAUUUUUAACAGCAGAUUCAGUGACGUUAGAGCUGAUCUGUGCUUCACUGAACAUGUCUGUGGCGAGUUACGGCUCCUUGGGAACUGGAGCUUAUCGCGCCCACUCUACCCAGCUUACAAUUUUUGGUUCCCAGAUCGUUCCCUGUUGGUUAGUCAGGAAAGUUUUCUUUACGUAAAUAGAACAUUCCCUUUUGGCUAGGGCAGGGUUUCCCAAAGUGGGGUUUGCGAACCCCUGGUGGUCCGUGCGGGAAUUGCAGGGGGUUCGUGAGUUGGUA
ensembl:lncRNA